AGCAGCGUGGCUCAGUGGAAAGAGCACGGGCUUGGGAGUCAGAGGUCAUGGGUUCUAAUCCCAGCUCUGCCG
rnacentral:tRNA from 1 species